GACAGAGGUGCCGAGCGUUAGGCGGAAUCACUGGGCUUAAAGCGUGUGUAGGCGGAUCUGUAAGUACCUUGUGAAAUCCCACGGCUCAACCGUGGAACUGCUUGGUAUACUGCGGGUCUUGAGCCACCUAGGGGCAAGUGGAACAAACGGUGGAGCGGUGAAAUGCGUAGAUAUCAUUUGGAACGCCAAUGGUGAAAACAGGUAGCUGGGGAAGUGCUGACGCUGAGACACGAAAGCCAGGGGAGCGAACGGG
rnacentral:rRNA from 1 species